GAAUUCUGCAGAGAUGCGGAAGUGCCUUCGGGAACUGUGAGACAGGUGCUGCAUGGCUGUCGUCAGCUCGUGUUGUGAAAUGUUGGGUUAAGUCCCGCAACGAGCGCAACCCUUAUCCUUUGUUGCCAGCGGUUAGGCCGGGAACUCAAAGGAGACUGCCAGUGAUAAACUGGAGGAAGGUGGGGAUGACGUCAAGUCAUCAUGGCCCUUACGACCAGGGCUACACACGUGCUACAAUGGCGCAUACAAAGAGAAGCGACCUCGCGAGAGCAAGCGGACCUCAUAAAGUGCGUCGUAGUCCGGAUUGGAGUCUGCAACUCGACUCCAUGAAGUCGGAAUCGCUAGUAAUCGUGGAUCAGAAUGCCACGGUGAAUACGUUCCCGGGCCUUGUACACACCGCCCGUCACACCAUGGGAGUGGGUUGCAAAAGAAGUAGGUAGCUUAACCUUCGGGAGGGCGCUUACCACUUUGUGAUUCAUGACUGGGGUGAAGUCGUAACAAGGUAACCGUAGGGGAACCUGC
rnacentral:rRNA from 1 species